GGAGUGUAGCUCAGUGGUAGAGUGCAAGCUUAGCAUGCACGAGGUCCUGGGUUCAAUCCCCAGUACCUCCA
rnacentral:tRNA from 1 species